GGAGAGCCGGGGAUCAAGACCGAGAAGCCAAGUCAGCUUCUAAGGCCACGAUAAGAGAGGCGGCUGCUCUAUUGAGCACAGAGUCCAAGCGUCUUGCACCUUUUAACAGGCUCGGGGCAGGAAGCAGGAGCCGGAAUCUGGGCCGAGAGACGAAGGGAGGGUCUAGGACCUGCUCCUGGAUAGUGGAUGCGUGAGAUCCAGGUUAGACUUCGUUCCUAACGUCAAGGCUCCCAGGCUUCACUUCCGGUUCCGAGGGGGGUCGUCGCUUCACCCCCGGAAGUUCCUCCUCCACGCUUUAGGGCCGGGCCACUCCUUCUGCCACGUCUGCAUUUCGGGAACCGCGCAUGCGCCACUUUCAUCUUCCUAUCAUGGCCGCCGCCUGGGCGCCUCUGCUGAGUCACCCUGCACUCGUUGGAUCAGCUGACACCACCUAGACCGGUAACCUGGCUCAAUCAGUUCUGCCAUCCCACCCAGGAACAGAAAACAGCAAGAAAACCUCACUUCGACUCCCUAUGAUUCCAUCUUCAUCCUGACCAAUCAGCACGCCCCAUUCACAAGCUCCUACUCACCAAAUUAUCUUUAAGAACUCUGAUCCUCGAAUGCCCAGGGAGACUAAUUUGGUAAUAAUAAAACUCUGGUCUCCCACA